UUUAGGGACGGAGGGAGUAUGAAUUAUGGAAAAUUUUGCAGGAAAUUCUACCCACUAAAUUAAUAUUCAUUAUUAAGCGGUAAAACUCCCUCCAAAUUAAUAUUGAGCACAAGUAAUUUAUAAAAAUAAAAAUUAAAAAUUAAAACAGUAAAUACCUGCCUACUCAAGUCAAUCCCACGUUCUUCAUUUCAUAAUUUUAUUUUUUUUAUUUAUUUAUUUUUUUUAAUAGAAAGUCAAUUCUUCACUCCAUUCUCCAUUUUUUUUAACCAUCAACUCUCUUCUAUACACAAGUGGGAAAUCUCAAAUUCUCAGGCGAUCAAGAAUAUUUGGACAAUGAGCUCCUUCAUGAACAUUAUUAAUCAGGCCCCAUCCUCUGAAUUUGCUGCAAGGUUUCUUUGGUUAACGUCGAAUGUAUCAAGAAAAAAGCUCCUUUCCAUUACAACCCUUGCUUGGUCUGCUUGGUGGUGCAGGAAAAAGCGCAUUUUUGAGAAUGAAAGCCAGCGCCCAGUGCAAAGAGCAUCAAGCUUGCUGAAGCAUGUUGGGGAGUAUGAAGAGUAUGCUGCAAAUAAAGGUGUUCAGAGUAUAGGAGAGAUUACCAUCUACUUCUUUAAAAUCGUGGAAUUGUCCAACAGUGGGGACUGUUAAUAUCCGAGACGAGAAGGGUGAUUUGCUGGCUGCGGCUGUGCAAAAUAAGCAUGCUGGGUGGUCUCUUUCACUAGCUGAAGCUGCAGCAUGCCGCUUUGGUAUGCAACUUGCUACUAGGUUGGGAUUUAUGAGUAUCAUUGUGAAAUUUGACGCCCUGAUGGUUGUUGAUGGCCUGAUGGGGUUAAGAAGAAGCGUGGUGGUUUUGAUCCUUUGUGAAGCUGACAUUGCCUGUCAAAACUGACUGUAUUUUGGGAGUCAAAUUCUCGAAGCUUAUACCUUUCUUGUGUUCAUAUGCUCUGUUGGUGCUAUGGAGCUUUGUAGAAAAAUUAAAAGUUCUGCAAUUUCUCAUUCACAAGUUGGAUAUGUUCUCAGUAUGAUCUUUCUACCUUAGAUCUGGAUUGAUGAUGUGACACCUUUUACUAAUUUCAAGCAUUUGUGAAUUUUGUCCAUGCUACAAACAGAUUUGGGAAGAACAUGAGGCAUGCUGGUUUAUGAGUAUCAUUGUGAAUUUUGUCCAUGCUACAAACAGAUUUGUCCAUGUCUAAGCCCUUAUUUCCUUCAGGUUCUGGAUUCUCAAGUUCGGCAGCUUUUGUUUGCUCUUCUAAAAUCACUAUAAUGGAUGUUGUUGGGUUGAACUUCCCUAAGGUAUUUUAAAUUACCCGUAAUACUUUUUAUUGUUUUGUAGUAAACUAAUUAUUUCCCUUUCUAAGUCAAAGUAUGCCUAACACCGAAUGACCUUUUUUUAGAGGGCCGCUCAUGUGUACUCUGAAGCUAGAGGGCACAUGCUUUCAAGGAUACAAUGUCCUCGGAUUUGAGAUUAGCUGAAUUUAGCUAUUUGCUAGGCACUAGGAUCCUCUUUCCGCUAUAUAUUUUCUACGAAGUAUAUAUGUAGUCUUUUGGAUUCUUGUAUUUAACUAAUGCAUAGUUGUCAUUUAGCAUAAUUCUUAAAGUUAUGUGUUUGUUGGUUAUUCUCUUCUAUUAUAGUUACCUCCUAACGAGAUUGACUUUUGUUGGACAGAGCACUUGUGGGAUUUGCUGGCCUCCAAUGGUGGUUGCUAGUCCUGCUAGUGGACAUCUAUUCUAAGCAGGUUUGUUCUAAUGCAAAUGUGUUGGGUGGUGUUACUUGAUAUUUUUUUUUUUUGCAGGGUGAUGCUGACUGUCCCCUUGAGUGACUUUGGCAGAAGUAGGCUCAAAGUGGUCAGGGCAGUAUGGAUUUUAUAGAAUCACAGUGAGUGUUGAUCAAUAAGGAUUUUGGAUACUAGCUGAGGCUGGGGCUGCAGGAUAAGGUCUGUUGCUUGUGCAGUGGCUGGGACUUAUGGGUGUAGUACUAUAGUGUGAUGCGUUAUUUGUGGUUCAAGCUAUUCUUAGACACCAAGUUGGAGCUGCUCCAAUCUCUCGUCUAUGAUGAUAUUAGUAGAUUAAGUGUUGCUUUUUUAAUUCUUUCUCCCUUUCUCAUGUAAAACGAGUGGGUCAUACAAUGUGGCUUAUUGUGUAGUUUAAUGGGAUACGAGUAUUUACUAGUAGUUUAAAGGACUUUAAACUUUGGUGGAUCUUGGUAUACGUUAUUAUAUUUGCUUAUUGCUUUUUCUUUUUUCUUUUUUUUUUGCUCCAACAAUCAGUGUUUGUAGAACAAAUAGGUACUAAUAUUUAUUUUUACUCUUUGACUCUUGAGAUUAUAUAUAUUGGUCAUAAUUUUACAAGACUCACAUUCAUAAAUCUUAAGGUGUUUGGCAGUUUGGUUAGCUUAAGUUUACUUUGCAUAAAAGUAAAUUCUCAUUAUGUGUGCCACAAAAAUUAAUAUUAAUGGGGCACAAGUGUUGGAAUGAAUGCAACGGCGAAAUAAA